rnacentral:RNase_P_RNA from 10 species
GAGGAAGGUCCGGACUCCACAGGGCAGGAUAGCGGCUAACGGCCGUCCGGCGAGGUGCGCAAGCAUCAAGCCGAGGACUAGGGCCACAGAGACGAGUCUGCGGGGCGGGCAUUCGCAAGAAUGCACCGGCACGGCCACUCCGUGCCGUGACAGCUGGAAACGGCUGCCGGCGUCGCAGGGUGAAACGCGGCAACCUCUAUCCGGAGCAACAUCAAAUAGGCAUGCGCACGGCCUUCGGGCCUGGAAGAGCGGCUCGCUCGAGUAUGCGGGUAGGUGGCUAGAGCGUUCCAGCAAUGGUUCGCCCAGAGGAAUGAUUGCCCGCCAGGGUAGCCUGGCGUACAGAAUCCGGCCUA